GACGAACGCUGGCGGCGUGCUUAACACAUGCAAGUCGAACGGGUCUGCCCUGUUUUUUGCGGGGUGGGUCAGUGGCGAACGGGUGAGUAACACGUGAGUAACCUGCCCCUCACUUCUGGAUAACCGCUUGAAAGGGUGGCUAAUACGGGGUGUUCUGGCUGUGCCGCAUGGUGUGGCUGGGAAAGAUUCACUUUUGUGGUGUUUUGGUGGGGGAUGGGCUCGCGGCCUAUCAGCUUGUUGGUGGGGUGAUGGCCUGCCCAGGCUUUGACGGGUAGCCGGCCUGAGAGGGUGGGCGGUCACACUGGGACUGAGAUACGGCCCAGACUCCUGCGGGAGGCAGCAGUGGGGGGUAUUGCACAAUGGGCGGAAGCCUGAUGCAGCGACGUCGCGUGAGGGAUGGAGGCCUUCGGGUUGUGAACCUCUUUCGCCGGUGAAGAAGGUCCUGCUCUUUGUGGUGGGGUUGACGGUAGCCGGGUUAUGAAGCGCCGGCUAACUACGUG
rnacentral:rRNA from 1 species